AUAGGCUUUGCCUGAUGACUGCCUUCCAGUAGACAUUACAGAACCUGGUAAGUUAGACGAGAUAUUUGACCUGAUGGAUGCAAACAGCGAUGGCAAAGUCACCUUUGAUGAGUUCAAAACUGCAAUGCAAAGAGAUAGCUCUCUCCAAGAUGUGGUCCUCUCCUCUCUUCGUCCCUAGCCUCAUUCCAGUUUCAAUAAUGCAUGUUUUCCUUAACAUGUAUAUAUAUAUAUAUAUAUAUAUAUAUAUAGCAAAUUGGUAUAGUAUCAGUAGGAAAACACACUUUUCCAAGCUGACUGCUUUAAGUUUUGUUUGCCUUUUACGCUCGCCACUUUGAUUUAUUACUCGGAAUUGAUUCAAGUUAUAUACUUUUCAUUUUAUGUGCAUCCAUUUAUCUACUGAAAUAUUUCUACAAACAUAUAUUUCAGAAUGUUAGAAUUCUGAUAUGAUGCUACUUAAAUAUAUGUUGAUAUCAUUGGAAUGGAGAUCCCAAGGGUCUUUUUCCUCGUACUUGUCAAAGAAGAAUUAUAAUUUGAUGAAUAAGAAGAAAUUAAUUAUGGUUUGGUUAUAUAAUUAGUACUUUCAUCUCUUUCUUUGAGACUAUGAAUUCAAACUCUGAAUUGUGCAUAAAAAACGAUGAAAAGAAACAUACCAAAUUAACAGCCAGCUUAAUCACCCAAAUCCGAAAUCAUUUAGAAAACAGUUGUAUAUUCAAAACCAAAAGCCAAUUAUAUAUAAACAACAGCUAGAAAUGCAGAUUACUAUAAUUUGGAUUUAAAGAAAAGGCAAAUGAGAAAUCAAAAUCAAAACACGUAAACCAGUAAAAACAUAAUUGAUUUGAUUUCUCACUAUAGCAUGAGAUUGAGAGGCCAGGCAGUAGUUUAUUUUUUUUAUGUUUUCAUUAGCAUCCUUUCUUGAGGUUAAAUCAUCAUGUUUUUGGAUUAGAUUAACCGCAUAGCUCAAAAUUUACAAGCUGCUCAAACUAACUAAGAUCAAUAUGUAAAAACUAAAUCACAAAUAGCAUUAAUUUCAAAAAGAAAAACUACAAGUAUCAUUUAUUACAAUAGCCCAUCUGCAGAACCAUUAACACAAAAAUUUCUUCACAAGAAACAUGAUUUUGAUUUUCAAGAAUGAAGACCAAUUCAUUUUGCUUGAAGACGGAGAAAUAAUGAGAAAAGCAGAACCUCUAUUAGUUCACAGUUUCUUUUUGACAAUCUAAUGAUAUACAUAAUUCACACAUGAAAAGCUAGCCAAAAGAACCUUAGAUCAUAGAGGCAAAGAGAGAAGAUGUAUUCGCAAUUCUUCCACCACAAAGUAGCAGGCUGCCCGACUCUAAUCUGUUCUUAAAAGCCACACAGUCAAACAACAAGCUCUGUACUUUACUCUGCUCGUCAUACUUCUCCAAAUCAAUGGGUUUUGAUCUUCCAAUCGGUGCAUUAUCAUCAAGUUGCUCUCUUUCUUUUCCAAAACUUCUGACAUAUUUUCUAAUGUCUUCCUGAACCUCAAGGGCUUCAGUUGAUUUCCGAGAGAAGGAGAACCGAUAUUUCCCACCAUGCUCUACAUUUUUGCAGUCCAGAAUGGCUGCAGCUUGCGUUGGCCUCUUAGUACUGCUGCUAGCAUCAAAUUCCAAGGCAUUACUGUUGUAUGUAACCCGACUAUCCUGAAUGAUGAACAAGGAAAGGUAAAAUUUAGUGUAAGUUCAUGGUGGAAGAAUAAAAAGAGUAGCUUCUCCCUAUCGUUAAAGCUUCCGGAAAAGUGAAAGUUCCAGGAUAAUUCCUCUGCUUGUGACAACCAAAAUGGCGUGAAUCAAGAAAUUGAAAUACAAUUUAUAAGUAUUCAAAAACCAGAUUCUACAGUCAGGGAAAUUAUGAAACACCACAAAAUCUGGAGUGUAGGAAAGACUAGUCAUAUCUCUUGCUCCAUGGUCGUUAAGGUUUCUAAAAAAAGAAAAUUUCCAAGAGAUGGAACCAUUAUCUCAAAUAAUAGUAAAUCAUAAUAAAGAAUAUGGGAGAAAAAGGAAAUUCUAGAUGAUCUAGAUAAUCUAUAAUCUCAGAAAUUGAGAAGCAAAAGAAACAUUAUGAAUCCAAGGAUCAUCCCAGGAAGAAGGUUAAAAACAAGGAAGAACCAUCAGUGAACCAUCAACUGAAUGAAAGGUAAGAAGGAAAACAGAGACCAUUGCCCUCCAUGGCCUUUUGUAAGUGCUUGAAAUAAAUACUCCAAAAUCUCAUCCAUUCUGAUGAAGACCAUAGUUGCCCUCUACAACCAUUUCCUACUAAGAAUAAGGUUCUAAAGACAAUCUUGGUAAGUUAAAAGAGACAAAUUUUUAUAAUAAAAAUUCCAAUACCAAGACAACCUUCCUCUUAGACUCCAAUAUCUAUCCGAGUUGACUAAAUGAUAACUUUUGAUUCACUCAAACCCAACCAAAUCAAAGCUUUCAUAAGCCACUUUAAUAUUGUCAGCCACACCUCUGGGGAUUUUGGAAAGAGAAAAUACAAGGGGAUGCUAGAAAAACAUGAUUAAAUUGGAGUGACCCACCCCCAAGCUAGAAAAGAGCACCCUUCCAAUUUUUUCUAGGAAUUUAGAAAUCUUAGAAACCUUGGCUUUUCAAAAGGCAAAUGACAAGUUUUCUUUCUAGGAGUUUGGAAAUCUUAGAAACCAUAGGUUAUCAAAAGGCAAAUAACAAAUUUCCCCACCAAGGGACACCACAGUAGCAACCAUCUAGUCUAAACAUCAAACCCUAUAGAGAUAGCAAGGUCAUGCACAUCUUGAGCCCCCGACAUUAAUGCCCUCGAUCUUACUCUUCCUAAGGUUAAGACACAAACCUGAUAUUACCUCAAAACAUUCACAACUAAGCACACAUAAAACAAAUUUCAAAAUAUUCCACAUAAAAACACAUNNNNNNNNNNNNNNNNNNNNNNNNNNNNNNNNNNNNNNNNNNNNNNNNNNNNNNNNNNNNNNNNNNNNNNNNNNNNNNNNNNNNNNNNNNNNNNNNNNNNNNNNNNNNNNNNNNNNNNNNNNNNNNNNCAAUAUAUAUAUUUCAUCUCAAUAUAUCUGUGCCCAGAUGUAUGACACUGAUCGAUCGGGAUGCAUCACCAAGGAGGAGGUAGCGUCGAUGCUGAGAGUAAGGCUCUUGCUCCUAACCAUUCAUAUAUAUAUAUAUAUAUAUAUAUAUAUGUAGAAUGAAUGUGUGUGUGUAUAUAUUGAUGAUGACAAGGAAAUUUAAUUAACUGGGUAUGUAUUAUAUGUAUACAUAGGCUUUGCCUGAUGACUGCCUUCCAGUAGACAUUACAGAACCUGGUAAGUUAGACGAGAUAUUUGACCUGAUGGAUGCAAACAGCGAUGGCAAAGUCACCUUUGAUGAGUUCAAAACUGCAAUGCAAAGAGAUAGCUCUCUCCAAGAUGUGGUCCUCUCCUCUCUUCGUCCCUAGCCUCAUUCCAGUUUCAAUAAUGCA
rnacentral:lncRNA from 1 species